AUGUGUGAGUAUACCGGUGAUGUCAAAGACCCGCUGCGUUACUCUCCAAUCCGUCUGGAAGAUAAACAAAUCAAUGAUAUGACCAAGACUCUUCUCAACGAGAGUUUAGAGACUUGCAGCAAAGUGGGGCUGAACCCCUUCUGCACCCUCAACAAGCCGCCAGUUGCUGAUUCCCCCUUUUGGAACAAGAAACUCCAAGGUAAGCCGGGCAAGAAGGUCAGAACCAAGACCAAGGUUUCCAAGAAGCCUGCCAAAAAGAAGAUGACGCGGAGGCCAGUCAUGCAAAUGGUGAAGAGAAGCAGCAGCACGAAGUUCACCGCACGACCCGGAACAAAGGCGGUGGGAAUCUCUCCUCCGGCUUACCUAACAUGUCGGUUCCUCGCAAACGCCGAGCAGAGGAACUUCUCACUCCUCAUCUGGUGGCUCCACUGGGACUCAGAUCCCCCUCUUCAAAGUCGCCCCUAG
rnacentral:rRNA from 1 species